rnacentral:sRNA from 1 species
AUCUAAGUUGUUAAAGAUCUCACAUGUACCGUCACAUGGUUCCGGGUGCCUGUCGGCUUCACUGAAGCUUAGGGUCGAACUCAUGGGGUGCGUGGAGGCAUAAC